UGCGUAGGGUGCGAACGUUGUUCGGAAUCACUGGGCUUAAAGGGUGCGUAGGCGGCCCGUUAAGUCAGUGGUGAAAGCCUCCAGCUCAACUGGAGAACUGCCAUUGAUACUGACGGGCUUGAGUACAGACGAGGUUGGCGGAAUUGAUUGUGUAGCGGUGAAAUGCAUAGAUACAAUCAAGAACUCCGAUUGCGUAGGCAGCUAACUAGGCUGUAACUGACGCUGAGGCACGAAAGCGUGGGGAGCGAACAGG
rnacentral:rRNA from 1 species